GACGAACGCUGGCGGCGUGCUUAACACAUGCAAGUCGAGCGGUAAGGCCCUUUCGGGGGUACGACGAGCGGCGAACGGGUGAGUAACACGUGGGUGACCUGCCCUUAGCUCUGGGAUAAGCCUGGGAAACUGGGUCUAAUACCGGAUAUGACUCCAUGACGCAUGUUGUGGGGUGGAAAGCCUUGUGCGGCUAGGGAUGGGCCCGCGGCCUAUCAGCUUGUUGGUGGGGUGAUGGCCACCAAGGCGACGACGGGUAGCCGGCCUGAGAGGGCGACCGGCCACACUGGGACUGAGACACGGCCCACGACUCCUACGGGAGGGCAGCAGUGGGGAAUCUUGCGCAAUGGGC
rnacentral:rRNA from 1 species